rnacentral:lncRNA from 1 species
UUUCAAUAGGGCAUACACCUAUAUGUCAGAUGCGGCACCUUUAAACUUGGAGAUUAAAUACAUAUAUCAAGUAGCACGAGAACACGGAUACAAUAAACGUGUUAUUGAUAAGAUACACCGCAAGGUGAGAACGAAAAUACAUACCGCAGCUCGCAAUAUAAACCAACAAACAGAGGAACAAGAUACCUUCGUCGCACUCCCAUAUCCGCUGUCUAAGUCCUCGCUAAUAAAAGAAAUAACCUCGAAGGCAAGAAAAAAAGAUCGCUCCGAAACGAAUGCCAACCCUGUUUAACACCCUACGGAACGAGAACGACAAAAAGAAUGAAACAGAGAAG